GGAGUUCGGAUGGUGUCUAGCAACGUUGGGUACCUCGUUUCUUGGUUUCUUGUGUGAGCGAGUGGUUGCUGUUUACGACGUGUUCAUAUAUCGAUUUGUAGUGCUGUAAUGUGCAAAUUAGCGGACUUUAUAGCGGCUCUCUAUUUUGCGUCGUUGUCUUUCGAGCAGCGCCUGUUGUUCCGGUAAAAAUCGAGUUGAAUGAAUCGCCACAGCCCCAACGUAUAUCGCGCAGUGUUGACCAAGUCCAGCAGGAAUUCUGGCAUGGUAUGUGGCUGCACGGAGGAUUCCGAAAAAGAAAAACAACAACAUGGCUAAUAGGAUGUUGCUGCCCAGGGAGUCCUGGCCGAAGAGGUUUACUCAUUCCAGAAGCAAGAAUUGUACAAUUGUAAGGCGAAUGGAAAUAAAUUGACAUCGACUGA